GACGAACGCUGGCGGCGUGCUUAACACAUGCAAGUCGAACGGAAAGGCCCUGCUUUUGUGGGGUGCUCGAGUGGCGAACGGGUGAGUAACACGUGAGUAACCUGCCCUUGACUUUGGGAUAACUUCAGGUAACUGGGGCUAAUACCGGAUAUGAGCUCCUGCUGCAUGGUGGUGGUUGGAAAGUUUCGGCGGUUGGGGAUGGACUCGCGGCUUAUCAGCUUGUUGGUGGGGUAGUGGCUUACCAAGGCUUUGACGGGUAGCCGGCCUGAGAGGGGGACCGGCCACAUUGGGACUGAGAUACGGCGCAGACUCCUACGGGAGGCAGCAGUGGGGAAUAUUGCACAAUGGGCGGAAGACUGAUGCAGCAACGCUGCGUGCGGGAUGACGGCCUUCGGGUUGUAAACCGCUUUCGCCUGUGACGAAGAGUGAGUGACGGUAAUGGGUAAAGAAGCACCGGCUAACUACGUG
rnacentral:rRNA from 1 species